rnacentral:rRNA from 1 species
GAUGAACGCUGGCGGCGUGCCUAAUACAUGCAAGUCGAGCGAACAGACGAGGAGCUUGCUCCUCUGACGUUAGCGGCGGACGGGUGAGUAACACGUGGAUAACCUACCUAUAAGACUGGGAUAACUUCGGGAAACCGGAGCUAAUACCGGAUAAUAUAUUGAACCGCAUGGUUCAAUAGUGAAAGACGGUUUUGCUGUCACUUAUAGAUGGAUCCGCGCCGCAUUAGCUAGUUGGUAAGGUAACGGCUUACCAAGGCGACGAUGCGUAGCCGACCUGAGAGGGUGAUCGGCCACACUGGAACUGAGACACGGUCCAGACUCCUACGGGAGGCAGCAGUAGGGAAUCUUCCGCAAUGGGCGAAAGCCUGACGGAGCAACGCCGCGUCAGUGAUGAAGGUCUUCGGAUCGUAAAACUCUGUUAUUAGGGAAGAACAAAUGUGUAAGUAACUAUGCACGUCUUGACGGUACCUAAUCAGAAAGCCACGGCUAACUACGUG